CAACCACUUGAUCGAUCUGUAUUCGGUCC
rnacentral:sRNA from 1 species